rnacentral:rRNA from 1 species
AGGGAGGCAGCAGUGAGGAAUCUUGCACAAUGGGGGAAACCCUGAUGCAGCGACGCCGCGUGAGCGAUGAAGCCCUUCGGGGUGUAAAGCUCUUUCGACGGGAACGAUAAUGACGGUACCCGGAGAAGAAGCUGCGGCUAACUACGUGCCAGCAGCCGCGGUAAUACGUAGGCAGCGAGCGUUGUUCGGAGUUACUGGGCGUAAAGAGUAUGUAGGCGGUUGCGCAAGUUCGGUGUGAAAUCUCCCGGCUUAACUGGGAGGGUGCGCCGAAAACUGCGUAGCUAGAGUGCGGGAGAGGAGAGCGGAAUUCCUGGUGUAGCGGUGAAAUGCGUAGAUAUCAGGAGGAACACCGGUGGUGUAGACGGCUCUCUGGACCGCCACUGACGCUGAGAUACGAAAGCGUGGGGAGCAAACAGGAUUAGAUACCCCGGU